GGUACAACUCACCUGCCGAAGCAACUAGCCCUGAAAAUGGAUGGCGCUCUAGCGUCGUGCCUAUACCGGGCCGUCAACGGCACAGUGGGCGUCUGGCCUUCGGUCAGAGCCGUUACGCCUUGACGAGUAGGAGGGUCGCGGCGGUGUGCGCAGAAGGGUCAGGGCGUGAGCCCGCCUGGAGCCGCCGUCGGCGCAGAUCUUGGUGGUAGUAGCAAAUACUCUAGCGAGGGCCUGGAGGACUGACGUGGAGAAGGGUUUCUUGUGAACAGCCGUUGCACAAGAGUCAGUCGACCCUAAGCUCUAGGAGAAAUCCGAUGGCGAUGGGUGGCUAAACAACGAAGUAACCACGUUGUGUAUAUAUUUUGAUGCCCCUGUUGGGCAAAAGGGAGUCCGGUUCCUAUUCCGGAACCCGGCUGCGGAACCGUCACUCUGCGGGCACUCGCCUGCGAGCGCUCGUCGGGGUAACCCAAACUGGCCCGGAGACGCCGGCGGGGGGUCUGGAAAGAGUUUUCUUUUCUUUAUAAGCGUUCGAGUACCCUGGAAUCCUAUAGCAGGGAGAUAGGGUUUGGAACGCGAAGAGCACCGCAGUUGCGGCGGUGUCCGGACCUUCCCCCCGGACCUUGAAAAUCCGGGUGAGGGCUACGCGGAAGUCGCGCCGGGUCGUACCCAUAUCCGCAGCAGGUCUCCAAGGUUAAGAGCCUCUAGUCGAUAGAANAAUGUAGGUAAGGGAAGUCGGCAAACU
rnacentral:rRNA from 1 species